rnacentral:lncRNA from 1 species
CACCAAUGAUUAAACCGAGGACGGUUUGCUGUCAAGAAGGGGAGAAUGAUGAGGACAUCACCUGCUCCGUAAUACUUACAUGGAUCAGGAGAAUAUUUGAUUGCAUAUUGAGCAUUAUGCCCUACUUGGGAGAAGAGGACCAUUAUGGAUGGUGAAUGAAGUUGAUUGGGGACCAUUAUGCCCUACUUGGGAGAAGAGGACAAGCUUGAGUCGAGGACGACUCAAAUGCAAGAAGGGGAGGAUGAUGAGGACAUGAGUACCAUC